GGAGGUGUAGCUCAGUUGGUGGGGUGCAUGCUGAGCUUGCAUGAGGUCCUUGGUUCAAUUCCCAGUACCUCCA
rnacentral:tRNA from 1 species